rnacentral:Y_RNA from 1 species
GGCUGGUCUGAGUGCAGUGGUGUUUACAACUAAUUGGUCACAGCCAGCUACAGAUUUCCUUUACUGCCUCUCCACUCCCACUGUUUCACUUGACUAGCCUAAA